GCGGGUGCAGGGCUGUGCACCUGUACUCCCAGCUACUCGUGAGGCUGAGGUGGAAGAUUAUUUGAGCCCAGGAGUUCAAAGCCAGCCUGGCAACAUAGCGAGACCUUGUCUCUU
rnacentral:sRNA from 1 species